rnacentral:rRNA from 1 species
GAUCCUGGCUCAGGAUGAACGCUAGCUACAGGCUUAACACAUGCAAGUCGAGGGGCAGCGGGAUUGAAGCUUGCUUCAAUUGCCGGCGACCGGCGCACGGGUGAGUAACGUGUAUCCAACCUUCCGUACACUCAGGGAUAGCCUUUCGAAGAAAGAUUAAUACCUGAUGGUAUCUUAAGCACACAUGUAAUUAAGAUUAAAGAAUUUAUCGGUGUACGAUGGGGAGUGCGUUCCAUUAGGUAGUAGG